CUAAUGAGGUGCAAAAGCACAUGACUGCAGAGGGGGGAGAGUAGCAAUUUCCCUCUGCCACUCCAAAGGAAGUCAGGAAGCUACCUGUGCUAUGCAAAGGCAGAAGAAAGUCUCUCCUUCCAUGAGUGACUGUGACUUCAAAUAACCAUUAUUGACAUUCAUGUGGUACCUAGGAGAUCCACUCAUGGGCCAGGACACCCAUGUGCUACAGGUUGUGCAAUCACCAAGCAAAGCGUCAGUUCCUGCCACAAAGAGCUUACCAUCCAACUAUAGGACAAGAGAAGACAGAUGCAACCAGAAGAGUGAAAGGAAACAGUGACACGAAUUUAUUCACAGCUUUUGUAGCCCGAUAAAACAGACCUGCAACAAUCUACAGGAACAAGCUGAAAUGUACAAUCAAGUCACUUUGAUCAGGGAUGACUUUAAAAACAAAAUACCAUCGCUGAAUUCCAAAUGUUAAACUUGCCUUCGUGUUUCUGAAAUUCCUCUUCUGUGAAAUUGAUGUCUUUGUGCGACAGGUUUGUCAUCAGCUGUUUGUUCUCUUCCUGAAGCUGAGCAAUUUGGUCCCCCACCUUCUGGUGCUUCUUCUCCUUCUCGAUCCGGUCCAUCCUCUCCAGGCGGAGCCGAUCCAGCUCCAGCCGCAGCUCCUCCAUUUCGGGGUUGAUGUGAUUGCGGCUCACCAGCACCUCCAGGAUCUCCAG